ensembl:snoRNA
AUCCUUCGGUUCAUAAGCGUGCUGAUUGGGUGUUCAUGCUAUUGUGUGUGAUGUGCCUCCCUCUAAACCUUGUUACGACUGCGGCACAUUACCCAUGUGACA